rnacentral:rRNA from 1 species
UACGUAGGUGGCAAGCGUUGUCCGGAAUUACUGGGUGUAAAGGGCGCGUAGGCGGGUUUACAAGUCAGAUGUGAAAAUCCGGGGCUCAACCCCGGAAUUGCAACUGAAACUGUAUAUCUUGAGUGUUGGAGAGGGAAGUGGAAUUCCUAGUGUAGCGGUGAAAUGCGUAGAGAUUAGGAGGAACACCAGUGGCGAAGGCGACUUUCUGGCCAACAACUGACGCUGAGGCGCGAAAGCGUGGGGAGCAAACAGGAUUAGAUACCCUGGUAGUCCACGCCGUAAACGAUGGAUACUAGGUGUAGGUGGUUACAAGCCAUCUGUGCCGGAGUUAACACAUUAAGUAUCCCACCUGGGGAGUACGGCCGCAAGGUUGAA